AUUUUAGAGGAAGGAGAAGUCGUAACAAGGUUUCCGUAGGUGAACCUGCGGAAGGAUCAUUGUCGAAACCUGCAAAGCAGACCGCGAACACGUGUUUAACAAAUUCGGGAAGGCGGCGAGGGGGCGUGCCCCCUUCCGCUGCCCCAACCCCGCACGGGACGUGCGCUCCCGCGUCGUGCCGUGCGGGACUAACAAACUCGGGCGCGGAAUGCGCCAAGGAUAACUCAAAGGAGCAUCCACCGCCCCACGCCCGUCCGCGGAGCGCUGGGACGGACCGGAUGCCCGUCGUAUACCAAAACGACUCUCGGCAACGGAUAUCUCGGCUCUCGCAUCGAUGAAGAACGUAGCGAAAUGCGAUACUUGGUGUGAAUUGCAGAAUCCCGUGAACCAUCGAGUCUUUGAACGCAAGUUGCGCCCGAAGCCAUUAGGCCGAGGGCACGUCUGCCUGGGCGUCACGCAUCGCGUCGCCCCCCUCCUCCCUCGGGAGCGGGGGGCGGAGAAUGGCCCCCCGUGCGCCACUCGCGCGGCCGGCCCAAAUGCGCUCCCAAGGCGACGCACGUCGCGACCAGUGGUGGUUGAACUGUCAACUCGCGUGCUGUCGUGGCUAGAGGCGUCGUCCGACGGGAACACGAAACAUGACCCAACGGCGCACUGCGCCCACGACCGCGACCCCAGGUCAGGCGGGACUACCCGCUGAGUUUAAGCAUAUCA
rnacentral:rRNA from 1 species